UAAAAAAUUAUGUUUUUGAAAAUUUAUUAUACAUUUAUUUUACAUAUAAAUUUUAGUGUAAAAUUUUAAUUAUUUUAAAAAUAAUUAAAUUAUUUUAAUAGUAAUUAAAAUUAAAAAUUUAAGAAAUUAAGAUUUAGUAAUAUGAAAAUUAAUAACUAAUUUUGUGCCAGCAGUUGCGGUUAAACAAAGAUUAAAUUAAAUUAUUUCAGUAUAUAAUUAAUAAAUAAUAAAAUUAAAAUAAAUAUUAAAUUAUUAAGUGAAAUUUUAAUUUAGUUAAAUUUUUUAUAUAAAUUUAUGAUUUAUUAAAUUUUAAUAUAAACUAGGAUUAGAUACCCUAUUAUUAAAAAUUUAAUUUAUAAUACUAAAAUAGUAAAUAAUAAAUAUUGAAACUUAAAUAAAAUGGCGGUAUUUUAGUUCAUUUAGAGGAAUCUGUCUAAUAAUUGAUAGUCCACGAAUAAAUUUACUUAAUUUAAAAUUUUAUAUAUCGUUGUUAAAAAAAUAUUUUUAAAUAAAAAUAAUAUUUUAAAAUUAAAAUAAAAAAUUAAUUCAGAUCAAGAUGUAGAAUAUAAUUAAGAAUAUGAUGGAUUACAAUAAAUUUAUUUAAAUGAAUAAUAAAUUGAAAAAUAAAUUUAAAAGUGGAUUUAAAUGUAAUUUUAUUUAAUUUAAUAAAAUGAUUAAAAAUUAAGAUAUGUACAUAUUGCCCGUCACUUUCAUUUAGAAAUUGAAAUAAGUCGUAACAAAGUAGAGGUACUGGAAAGUGUCUCUAGAAUAAA
rnacentral:ncRNA from 1 species